GCGACGGACCAGCGCACGGAGAACGACGGCUACGGCGGCGGACGCGAGCGCGCGCAGGGCUGCAGCGGGCUUCUUCGGGUGGCCUCCCGACGUCAUUUUUUGCUCCUUUGUGGCGGGCGCCUUCUCCCGUCCAUAUGCUGCUGCGAGGGGCGGCCAGCCGAUAAGAGCCGGCGUCGUCUGCUCCUCGCGGCGUUGGCCUCUGUGCGUGUGGGACACGAACAGACGACUCCCCUCAACCACGGCAUCCCCCCGUGGGUAGCAAGGAGACAGCGAAACUGUGCUGCAGCAGACGACAGACGCUUCGCGCUGGGCUGCCUCCUCGCCGACGUAUCGCCGCGAGGCUUGAAACUGUUUGAAACGGACAAGCAAGACCAACGCUGGAUCAUAACUGGAGAGGAGGACCGUGAGGCAUUGGGCAGAAAUCCUGUCUCUUCCCUUUCCCUUCUCCUCGAGAAAGCCGCGUAGGAGCUGCCGGAGAAACGGCCACCCUCUGAACCUCGCGCACGCUUAUCGGACGCGGUCCCCGCGGCCUGCGACACACCGACGCCUUCAUACUUCGCCGCGUGCGCGCGGUCGCCCGCGCCGCUCCGACGGGAAAAAAAAAAGCUUUUAGUCGAACCCACGGCGGUGAUACGGGCAGCCCCCAGGCGUUCUCUGGGCUGAUUGUCUUCGCCGGAAAGACACGACAGCAAAAAAACGAAGAGAGAAAGAAAGUGGUGGUGCGCCUGUGGACCCCCAGAUGCCUUCUAGAAAUGGGUGGCGAACCUUUUAGGACGAUUUUUAAAGAAAGACCGGGACGCAUCGCUGUAAAGAUUACAAACCGGGAUCGUGCUAAAUGGCUUCAGCAGCUGAUGACCGUCGUGACCUUCGUCGGAGCCCUCGUCUCGAACAUAUUCCCCCAUUUCUUUCUCUCUCUCCCUCUCGCCCCCUUCUUAAUUUUGACAACACGUGUGAGAGGGCUCUUGUUGGAGUUGCUGCUGGAGAACAUACACUGGUACGGGGGAAUGUCUGAUUGUGUGAGCCGUGACACUAUCUUAAAAGCGCCGCGAAAUUCGUCUGGCCGGCGUCGAAGGAAGUGCAGGCUACAUUAGGGAGGCCAUGUAUCGGUGAAGCAGCCACAGCCGUCUGGAAUGCCUCCCUGUGUGCCAUGUGCAGCAACGUCGACGCAUCCAGCAAAAAAAGAAAAAAGAAAAACGAAAUCCAGGUGGGACUGCUGUUAGCUAACAGUGGGUAACGGGAGGAACACGUACGAGACCAGUAACAGCCAGAUUCGGUUUGAGUGCCCGAUUUUGUGUUGUCUGUCGACCUCCCGUGUGUGUGCAGGAGCCGAAUUGUGCGCAGAGGGAAUACAAAUAGGCCACGGGCCAUUCUCCUCAAUUAAGCUAUCAGAGGCUCCAAAGAUGGAAAUUGAGAUGGGAUAUGUCUUUCCCACAAUGACGCAAGGAAGCGGUGAUGCAUACAGGCAACAAUGACAACGACUUGCAAGCUUCAUUUUUGCCAAUAUCAUGGUUUCUAGGUCAGUAGAUGAAGAUGCGCUCAGUUUAGUUGGUUGGACAUGUUUUAAUGUCAUUAUAGCAGUGUACAGAGUAUAUACAGUGAUCGCCUUCUGUUCUCGUUCGCAGUCUGUGCUAACUACAGAAAACUUCAAACUUAUAUUCGUUUUUCGCCGAGACGAAGUCUCGCAGUACUUGGUGUGCCUGGUGACACCUUAGCAGAUCGGUAAACACACAUGCCUCUUGGGAGAAAGAAAGAAAACGGCCAUGAGAGGGCGUGUCGGCGCCUGAAAGGUAAUUCACGCCUUUCAAACGUGUAUCUUUUGCUCGCUCACUGGGCCAAAAGUGGGUUCCGUGAAACAUAUAAGCUUCUGGCGGCCACCGUUCUCACAUUGCGGGAGAAUGCGAGGUUACUCUGGCGCGGAAGGCUAUGUUCCGUGGUAAACUAAGGUUUUAGACGUCACACUAUGUAGGCCUUCUCCACUAAUCAUAUUUUGAAUGUCGCCCACUUCUACUCUAUCUCUAUCCAUUUUAUAAUUUGUUUCUGUGCAUCAGCCGCCACAUAGUCAGUAAGCAUGCAGCACAGGAACCUGCGUACUAUGCAAGUUCGCGGACCAGCCGCUGAGAUCCUGCCGGAACUUUCUCACGUAAAGGUUGUCGCAUAGUCGGAGUUGGAAAUCUGAUCCUGACGCAGUUUACAGAAUCGCUGCGGCCCGCUCUGUGGUGAAGUCGUUGCGAAGGUGACCACUGUUCACCUUCGAACGGCGGUACCGCACGUUGAACAAUCAACAGAGGAAGAAGAGGUCUAAACGUCACGGUGCACGAAAAGAAGCAGAGAAAUAGCCAAUAUCUACAGCAUCAACACGCGCACCCCGCGAUGUUGCACGUUAAUCUUUUUUGUUUAAGCCAAGCAAAGCGGUUUUUCAUACGACAAGGGGCAUGAGGAGACGGUUACACUGUGCGCGUGUACGUGCAAAUGCGACUUUUAGCCCCAACUAACGGAGGUAUUGAAACAUUUUCGCGUUCAUAACAUAGUAGUCAGCAAUAAGAAACGAGUCGAAAAGCGAUGAUGUCCCUGAACUGUCUUCGCAUCUGCGGAUAGUCAUUCAAGAAAAUUACGGAAGCCAUUUUCUUUUUAUCACUAUCACUGAAAUCCCCCUAGCCCUUUAGGCCAAUGAGCCAUCUUUUAGUUAAUAAAACUUGAUUACCAAAUACUUGCUCGUUAA